AAAAAAAAAAAAAGAAAAGAAGUUAGAUGUGCUCCUCACUUAAACAAAAGGGAGAAAGAGGCCCCUGCCUCUUUCCCAUCAGUACUGAGAGAAAACAAAUUAAAAAAGGGGGAGAGGUUUUUUUCUUAAGUCUUUUAUAUACAAAAAUUGUGAUUUUCGAAGAUCCAACAGUCCGAUCUUCGAUCUAUCUUCGGGAACGUGAUCCUUGCACUCGGAUCUACAUUCCUACUGUUCGCUUUGAGGUAUUUGGGCUUGUUGCAAAUUGCUUGAAGCUACCCAAACCUUGGGUUUUGGUUUGGUGAUCUUGUGCUAAAUGGUGCAUUGUGUUGUGAAUAUAGCAGCACAUUGUGGGUCAAACCUAGGAUUAUUGGAAUCAGGAGUACGAGCAAUCCAAGAUUUUGAUGCUGUGACUGCAUGUACUCCUGAGCUAGAUGAUGACCCAGUGGCUUUAUAUUUGGGGUAUUACGAUUGAAGCCCACAGUGACGAUCGUAAUGUGUUGGACUAUGGAGUCCUCUAUCUUUUGGAUAUUUUUGUAUAUGGCUUGUGACGCAUGUGUCACGUAUUUUUGGUAUAGCCAUUCUUUUGUAAUCAUGGUAUAUGUUGUAAGCCUCAAACAGAUAGACGUGGGUAAUUGGCUCUUUUGUGUGGACCACAGACUAGUUAUAGAUCUGCUUUCUGUUAUGACUGAUUGGUAUCAUAAUAUAUUCCGAUGUGUGAGAUGAUAAUCUAAA